UGGGGAAUAUUGGACAAUGGGCGAAAGCCUGAUCCAGCCAUGCCGCGUGUGUGAAGAAGCUCUUCGGAUUGUAAAGCACUUUAAGUUGGGAGGAAGGGCAGUAAGCGAAUACCUUGCUGUUUUGACGUUACCGACAGAAUAAGCACCGGCUAACUCUGUGCCAGCAGCCGCGGUAAUACAGAGGGUGCAAGCGUUAAUCGGAAUUACUGGGCGUAAAGCGCGCGUAGGUGGUUCGUUAAGUUGAAUGUGAAAGCCCCGGGCUCAACCUGGGAACUGCAUCCAAAACUGGCGAGCUAGAGUAGGGCAGAGGGUGGUGGAAUUUCCUGUGUAGCGGUGAAAUGCGUAGAUAUAGGAAGGAACACCAGUGGCGAAGGCGACCACCUGGGCUCAUACUGACACUGAGGUGCGAAAGCGUGGGGAGCAAACAGG
rnacentral:rRNA from 1 species